rnacentral:misc_RNA from 1 species
GAUGAAGAACGUAGCGAAAUGCGAUAAGUAAUGUGAAUUGCAGAAUUCAGUGAAACAUCGAAUCUUUGAACGCACAUUGCGCCCCUUGGUAUUCCGAGGGGCAUGCCUGUUCGAGCGUCAUUAUAACCCCUCAAGCUCAGCUUGGUGUUGGGGCCUGCUGCACUGGCAGCCCUUAAAAUCAGUGGCGGCGCCAUCUGGCUCUAAGCGUAGUAAUUCUUCUCGCUAUGGAGUCCUGGUGGAUGCUUGCCAUCAACCCCCAAUUUUUCUAUGGUUGACCUCGGAUCAGGUAGGGAUACCCGCUGAACUUAAGCAUAUCAAUAAGCGGAGGA